rnacentral:rRNA from 1 species
ACGCUCGACACCUACGGGAGGCUGCAGUAGGGAAUCUUCCACAAUGGGCGCAAGCCUGAUGGAGCAACACCGCGUGAGUGAAGAAGGGUUUCGGCUCGUAAAGCUCUGUUGUUGGAGAAGAACGUGCGUGAGAGUAACUGUUCACGCAGUGACGGUAUCCAACCAGAAAGUCACGGCUAACUACGUGCUAGCAGCCGCGGUAAUCUGAGCGGGCUGGCAAGGC